CCGCGUGUGUGAUGAAGGUCUUCGGAUUGUAAAGCACUGUCAACGAGGACGAAUAAAAUGACGGUACUCGUAGAGGAAGCACCGGCUAAAUACGUGCCAGCAGCCGCGGUAAUACGUAUGGUGCAAGCGUUAUUCGGAUUUAUUGGGCGUAAAGGGUCCGUAGGUGGUUUAUUAAGUCAGAUGUGAAAUCCUGAGGCUCAACCUCAGAACUGCAUUUGAAACUGAUAAACUAGAGUAUUGGAGAGGUAAGUGGAAUUUCAGGUGUAGCGGUGGAAUGCGUAGAUAUCUGAAGGAACACCAAAAGCGAAGGCAGCUUACUGGACAAUCACUGACACUGAGGGACGAAGGCGUGGGUAGCGAAAAGGAUUAGAUACCCUUGUAGUCCACGCAGUAAACGUUGUAUACUAGUUGUGGGGGGAAUUAGCCCCCUCCGUGACUGAGCUAACGCAUUAAGUAUACCGCCUGGGGACUACGGCCGCAAGGCUAAAACUCAAAGGAAUUGACGGGGACCGCACAAGCGGUGGAGCAUGUGGCUUAAUUCGAGGCAACGCGAAGAACCUUACCUGGUCUUGACAUAUUUACGAUCGCUGUAGAAAUACAGUUUCCCUUCGGGGCAUUUAUACAGGUGCUGCAUGGCUGUCGUCAGCUCGUGCUGUGAAGUGUUCGGUUAAGUCCGGCAACGAGCGCAACCCACGUCAUUAUUUGCCAUCAGGUUAUGCUGGGAACUAUAAUGAGACUGCCCGUGUUAAACGGGAGGAAGGCGUGGACGACGUCAAGUCAGUAUGGCCCUUAUGACCAGGGCUGCACACGUG
rnacentral:rRNA from 1 species